CCUAUGUGUGUGUGUGUGUGUGUGUGUGUGUGUGUGUGCGCCCAUGUGCAUGUGCUAAGUUGCUUCAGUUGUGUCCAACUCUUUGUGAUCCUAUGGGCUGUAGCCCACCAGGAUACUCUAGGAAAGUGUACUGAAGUGGGUUGCAGUGUCCUCCUGUAGAAGAUCUUCCUGACCCAGGGAUUGAACCUGAGUCUCUUACAUCUUUUCCAUUGGCAGGUGGGUUCUUUACCACUAGAGCCACCUGGGAAGCCCACGUAAGAGGGCUCUUUUAGACCAUAUAAUAGGUAGUGCUGCCAGGGAUGCAGGAAUGUAGCUUGUGUAGAGUAUAGAGCUUUGCCCCUGCCCAUCUCAGGAGCAGUGACCCCCACCCUGGCCCCUAGAUUGUACAGUGUGACUUCGUUUGAGACUGUGUCCUGAUCCUUGUAUUCUGUUUCAUCCUCUCAGAUCUGAGGUUAUCCACAUCAAGGCUGCCAUUUCCACAUGGCACUGAUGGUAUGAUGCCAUACAGUCUGGGAUGAAUUAGAUGCAGGACCGAGGCCUGUCAGGUGACGUGCAGAAUGCAUAAUGAACAUCUGCAAGACACUUCCAGUCGCUUGCCUUCAGGAGAGCAUUGGAAGGUCUUCAUAAAGACCAACAGGCCUUUCCUCUGCUCUCCUUCUGGACUCCAUCACUUCAGGACAAAGCUGGGACCACUUCUCAGGACUGACUUUUGGACUCUCUGACUCUGCCUCCUGUCCAGUGUUUCCUAAAUUCUCCCGUUACAGUAAAUGGAAUUGAGAGAAGUCAUCAUUCCAAAGGUCAGUAAAAAAUUUUUUUUGAUAGAUUAAGAAGUAGAUUCUUUA
rnacentral:lncRNA from 1 species